rnacentral:rRNA from 1 species
AUUGAACGCUGGCGGCAGGCUUAACACAUGCAAGUCGAGCGAGCGGCGGACGGGUGAGUAAUGUCUGGGAACCUGCUUUAAGGAGGGGGAUAACUACUGGAAACGGUAGCUAAUACUGCAUACCAUCAGCAGUCACCAGAUGGGAUUAGCUAGUGGGUGGGGUAAUGGCUCACCUAGGCGAAGAUCCCUAGCUGGUCGGAGAGGAUGACCAGCCACGCUUGAGCUGAGACGCGUUCCAGACUCCUACGGGAGGCAGCAGUAGGGAAUAGUGCACAAUGGUCGCGAGCCUGGUGCAGCCAUGCCGCAUGUGUGAAGAAGGCCUUCGGUUUGUAAAGCACUUUCAGCGAGGAGGCGUUACUCGCAGAAGAAGCACCGGCUAACUCCGUGCCAGCAGCCGCGGUAAUAC